rnacentral:rRNA from 1 species
AUUGAACGCUGGCGGCAUGCCUUACACAUGCAAGUCGAACGGCAGCGCGGGGCAACCUGGCGGCGAGUGGCGAACGGGUGAGUAACAUACCGGAACAUACCCUAGAGUGGGGGAUAACGUAGCGAAAGUUACGCUAAUACCGCAUACGCACUAAGGUGGAAAGUGGGGGAUCUUCGGACCUCAUGCUCAUGGAGUGGCCGAUAUCUGAUUAGCUAGUUGGUGAGGUAAAGGCUCACCAAGGCGACGAUCAGUAGCUGGUUUGAGAGAACGACCAGCCACACUGGAACUGAGACACGGUCCAGACUCCUACGGGAGGCAGCAGUGGGGAAUUUUGGACAAUGGGGGCAACCCUGAUCCAGCAAUGCCGCGUGAGUGAAGAAGGCCU